GGCUCGGUGGUGUAGUUGGUAACACGCUCGCAUGUCAAGUCGAGACAACAUGGGUUCGAGUCCCGUCCGAGGCA